GUAGUCGUGGCCUAUUGGUUAAGACAAUGGACUUUAGAAAUCCACUUGGGUCUCCCUGCACAGGUUUGAAUCCUGCUGACUAUG
rnacentral:tRNA from 1 species